rnacentral:rRNA from 1 species
UAAGACAUAGGUGACGAACGUUAUCCGGAAUUAUUGGGCGUAAAGGAUGCGUAGAUGGUUCGAUAAGUUACUGGUGGGAAAUCGAGGCCCAACCUCGUGGAAGCUGGUAAUACUGUCGAGCUUGAGUGCAGGAGAGGUUAACGGAACUUUAUGUGGAGCGGUAAAAUGCGUAGAUAUAUGAAAGAACACCGAUAUAGCGAAGGCAGUUAACUAUUCUGCUACUGACAUUGAGGCAUGAAAGCGUGGGGAGCAAAACGGAUUAGAUACCCGUGUAGUCCACGCCCUAAACGAUGAGUGCUAGAUAUUGGGAACUUGAUUCUCAGUGUCGCUAGGUAACCCGGUAAGCACUCCGCCUGGGGAGUACGCUCGCAAGAGUG